rnacentral:rRNA from 1 species
ACGAACGCUGGCGGCGUGCCUCAUACAUGCAAGUCGCACGAACCGCGACUGAGUGCUUGCACUUGGUCAAGGUGAGUGGCGAACGGGUGAGUAACACGUGGGUAACCUACCUCAUAGUGGGGGAUAACAGUCGGAAACGACUGCUAAUACCGCAUAGGACAUGGAAUCACAUGAUUCUGUGAGGAAAGGUGGCGCAAGCUAUCGCUAAGAGAUGGACCCGCGGUGCAUUAGCUAGUUGGUAGGGUAAGGGCCUACCAAGGCGAUGAUGCAUAGCCGACCUGAGAGGGUGAUCGGCCACAUUGGGACUGAGACACGGCCCAAACUCCUACGGGAGGCAGCAGUAGGGAAUCUUCCGCAAUGGACGCAAGUCUGACGGAGCAACGCCGCGUGAGUGAAGAAGGUCUUCGGAUCGUAAAGCUCUGUUGUUAGAGAAGAACAGCGCAUAGAGUAACUGUUAUGCGUGUGACGGUAUCUAACCAGAAAGCCACGGCUAACUACGUG